GGGCGUGUGGUCUAGUGGUAUGAUUCUCGCUUUGGGUGAGCUGAUCUCUCAGAUUAGUGAGCAAAUUUGUGAGAGGCCCUGGGUUCAAUUCCCAGUAUGCCCC